ACAGGGAUUGCCCUAGUAACGGCGAGUGAAGCGGCAACAGCUCAAAUUUGAAAUCUGGCGUCUUUGGCGUCCGAGUUGUAAUUUGCAGAGGGCGCUUUGGCAUUGGCAGCGGUCCAAGUUCCUUGGAACAGGACGUCACAGAGGGUGAGAAUCCCGUACGUGGUCGCUAGCCUUUACCGUGUAAAGCCCCUUCGACGAGUCGAGUUGUUUGGGAAUGCAGCUCUAAAUGGGAGGUAAAUUUCUUCUAAAGCUAAAUACUGGCCAGAGACCGAUAGCGCACAAGUAGAGUGAUCGAAAGAUGAAAAGCACUUUGGAAAGAGAGUUAAAAAGCACGUGAAAUUGUUGAAAGGGAAGCGCUUGCAGCCAGACUUGCCUGUAGUUGCUCAUCCGGGUUUCUACCCGGUGCACUCUUCUACGGGCAGGCCAGCAUCAGUUUGGGCGGUUGGAUAAAGGUCUCUGUCAUGUACCUCCCUUCGGGGAGAUCUUAUAGGGGAGACGACAUGCAACCAGCCUGGACUGAGGUCCGCGCAUCUGCUAGGAUGCUGGCGUAAUGGCUGUAAGCGGCCCGUCUUGAAACACGGACCAAGGAGUCUAACAUCUAUGCGAGUGUUUGGGUGUCAAGCCCGAGCGCGUAAUGAAAGUGAACGGAGGUGGGAACCUUUCGGGGUGCACCAUCGACCGAUCCUGAUGUCUUCGGAUGGAUUUGAGUAAGAGCAUAGCUGUUGGGACCCGAAAGAUGGUGAACUAUGCUUGAAUAGGGUGAAGCCAGAGGAAACUCUGGUGGAGGCUCGCAGCGGUUCUGACGUGCAAAUCGAUCGUCAAAUUUGGGCAUAGGGGCGAAAGACUAAUCGAACUAUCUAGUAGCUGGUUCCUGCCGAAGUUUCCCUCAGGAUAGCAGUAACGUUUUCAGUUUUAUGAGGUAAAGCGAAUGAUUAGAGGCCUGGGGGUUGAAACAACCUUCACCUAUUCUCAAACUUUAAAUAUGUAAGAAGUCCUUGUUACUUAAUUGAACGUGGACAGU
rnacentral:rRNA from 1 species